UCAUAAGGAAAUAAAAAGGAAUUAAAACUUGAUAUUUGUGAAGGAGAAAUAGCAAUAUAAUAAAAAGUGGGACAGAGAGUGGCACAGGAUGUGGGACAGAAGAUCCGUUGCGCUAAUAAUUGUUUCCUUAAAAACUCCUAGUCAACUUUACCUCGACUUUGGUUUAUUGAAUCACCAGGCACCUGUCUACAAGAAUCUCCCUUCAUUUCAUCACUGCAAAUCUCUUCAGUUCGUGUUUUCUGAUCACUACAUUCAUCGUUUCUGCUACGAAUCUGUGUCAGGGAGAAGAAAAGAGAGAAACCAAGAUGGUCAACACAGUCCUGGAUUCUCCCAUACAAAAUCUGGAUUGGCUAGAGAAGAAUUGCAGCUUGGCAUCUCCGUUGAGGGAUCAAGUCUUGACCCUUAAACAGAAAUCAAGAUUUCUGAGGACAUACUUGAUUGCCACAGGAAUAUCUGAGGCUAAUCCUUCUGCAUCAAGCUCAUUGAUCAGCAGUUUUGAAACUGAUGUUGCAUUUAGCAAGGCGAUAGAUGAGCUUUCUUCUGCUUGUUUUCUGCCAGUGGAUUUGGAGAAAGUUGAUUCUUCGGUUUCUUACAUGCUGGAAAAUGUAAAACUUUGGGAGCCCAAAAUAAAGAAUGCUUAUGCUAUCCUGUCCGAGCAGCCCUGGGGGAGGGAAGUCAACUCUCCUCUGAUUGAUCCUAUUUCUUCCGUGGUUUUCAUCGACUCUGUACUGGAGAACCUGGUGGAUAUUUAUUAUGGCUCGAAUCAUCUAAUCUCUUCGAUGAAGAAAAAAGUUGAAAUACUAAUGGAGAAGUUAAGUUUCCUGAUGGAUUUCAUUGGAACUGCUGCAAAUCAAUCUAAUAUUGUUCAUCAGGAGAUGGCAACUUUUCUGAUCUAUGCUCAUUCUUUUACAACCAAAGCAGCGCGUUUCUCCUUUUUGUGCUGGGAUGGUGAACCGGAAGACGUCAUGGCUUGCCAUAUGGAUGUUAAACUUUCUGAUUUACUACAGACGAUUAUGCCCUCUAGCUCAGAUUUGACGGAGAUGUUCAUUCAACUUCUGAAAGCUUCGACGCCAACGGGACCAGGAACUGCAAAGACAGAUGCAAUCGCAAGCAUUAUCAAACUUCUCCUGCAAAACACGGUAGAAUCCCUCAAAGAUCGAUUCAGUUCCAUACUUGAGGAGCUAAUAUACCUUAUGAAAUUUCUAGUGGUUCUACCAGAUGAGUCGACUGGAGAUCUGGAAAGGAUCUUAUCCGAUAUCAGAGCAGCCGCUAGGGAGACUGCAUCAUUUCAGGUCAACGAAGUGAAAGAACAGCAAGUCGUUGAAAUGAAUCUUGUUCUCUCAAGGUCUCUUCAGAGGAUGAAGCUGAUCAAAGCGGAGAUCAUUCUGAUUCAGCUGCUAGACUCUCAAGAAGUUUUCAUGGUGUCAAUGAAGGAUAAAUACACUGCCCUCCAUGAAGGGUUGAAAUUCCUAAGAAGUGUUCGAAUUGAUCUACCUGAGGAGAAAGAAGAGGAUAGCAAACUACUCUCCAAACAUAUUGAAGUGCUAGGAGCCGAGGUAAUAUCUUUCAUACAU
rnacentral:lncRNA from 1 species